rnacentral:lncRNA from 1 species
UUGAUUUGAAGGGGAUUGUUAUGGGAUGACGCUGUGUUUCAGAGGAAUUCAUAAGCAGAAUUGAAUUUGUUUUAGUUAACUCCUUAUUUGAUUGGAAUAUUGUCGACUUAACAAAAUAGUAGAAAGAGCAUUGGGCUGAAGUGAGAAGAUUUGAAUUCUAGUCCAAAAUCUGUUACUAACCAGCUCUUUGACCCUGAGAAGUCAUUUGACUUGAAUUAUAGUCUUUUUCUUAUAUGGGAAAGGUGGAGUAUACUCAGAGUCUCUCCUAAGUGCUAAGAUUCUGUGAUUCUAUGAAAUCAGACCAUCAGAGAGGAAUACUGCAGUGUUCUCCUGCAUGGGUUGUAAAUGAGAAAAAAGAAAGAAGGAGAGCAAAAUGACUUAAAGACAUUUUCAAGAAAAAAAGAGGAGAGAAGUCACUGAAAUGGAAAAAUAAACAUAUUAUAUAACUAUUUAUUGCACUAUGCAAUAAAAACAUCUUCAGCAACAGCCACACAAGUGCGGGUAGAGGGUCUGCUUUGAAGAGAGAAAAAAGGCUGCUGCAGAAAAAACAAACCUCAAUUCAUAAUUGGAGCUUUUGUUCUUUCUGGAUUGUUUUGUGAAGAACAUGCUGCCAAAAAACAUUUUUCUUCUGUAACCGCUUCUUUUGAAACUCCAUUCUUUUUUAUUUCAAGGAUGUUUAUUAUCUACUCAUUUCUUUUUAUUUAUUUUUGAAUCAUAUACCCCAAUGUCUAGAUGACUGGGACCACUAGGUUUCAUAUUUCCCAGAUGAGAUUAGUUGUACAGUUCAUUUUGCAGGUUUAUUCAGAGCAUUUCAAUGGCAUUUCACCUACAGUUCACCUAUAUUGAGUCCUAAGAAAUUGAAGGUGUUUCUUGAUAGUUCUCCUGCUCCAUCUUCUUCCAGGGGAUUGAUUUGGCUUCUUAUGUUUUUGUAUUUGGUUGCUCAUUAGAGAUAAGCCUGAUUAUUUGGCAUUGUGUAUUUUCUCUGUUUUAAAAAGGGAAAAUACAACAUGUUAUUAAUUAUUAUGAUAUAAUAAAAAAUGGAGAGAAGGAAAA